GGGAGAGAGAGAAAUUGGGAGAGGGGAGAAAGAGAGAGAGAGUAACGCUAGGCAUUGAAGAGAAAAGGAAAUACACACAACGUGCAAUUCGAUUGGUCUCGAUAAGAUUCGUCGUUGCUCCCUCUUCCUUCCUUUUCCGAAAAUGAGAAAAGCAAGUACUGUUUAUGUCGAUAAUGCUGAAUCCCAACAGAAUUCUCAGGCAUGUUUGAAUAUCUAUCGAGGCAAAAAUUCGUGCGGUCUUUCGAGUUUCCGACUUUACAGAGAGGAUACAGAGUGGGAUUGAUCGGUAGUUAGCACACAAGAUUACGAAUUUUUGUCGCUUCUCGCGAAUUUUAAUACAAAAUUUGCAUUAAAUUGUUUGUCUGUAUUUGAGAACGCCAGUGUUGUCGCUGUAAGCGGUAAUUGCUUUCGUUAAGAGGGCGAUACCAAACCGAAAGUUUACAAAAUUUUGGCAGACGACACGAAUCGUACAUCGACGCUGGGUAGAUCCGUAUAGGCUCUCUCCGCGUUUGCUUCGCGCACUCACUCGUCCUUGGUGUACGAAACAACAAAAGAUGACAAAGGAAAAAGAACAAAAAGAGACAGAGGUAUCGUUUUUAUACAAGCUUAGAGGUAACGAUAGCGGCGUACUCUCGACGAAAAUGGAAAAAGAGCGGGAAAGACCUCCCUUAUCGGCGUUAUCAAGAUGUUAGAGGAAACGUGGCUGAAAUUCAUGCUGUAUUUUGCGAAGUAUGGUGCAAUUCCCUCAAUAUUUCCGUCAAGUCUCGCUGACUUUUUACUUCUCAUUCACACCUCUCGGAGCUUGUAUGAAGUUCCGAAAUAUUAAAAAUCCGUAAACCGCAACCUCGGGAUUCUUCAGUCGGCACAUCCGGAAAUUCGAGGAUCAGGACACUUUCGCGCUAUGAAAUUUUAAAAAAGAAACAAAUGUGUUUGCGAGAUAUAAUCCAUACACAAAUACACACAUACGUACGCAUGCGUACACAAAAUGCAGAUAUUUAUCUGAAAAAUUAUUGAGACAUUUCCACCUACUACCGUCUAUACGAAAUCUUUGUGAACAAAUUCGUCUUCGGGAUUGCACCUUUCAAUUCGUCUCCAUUUCCACUACAUAGCGGUUGUUACAUAGCAGCUGACGAGAGACAUAAGGAACUUGUCGAAUAAUAUUCGGACAUAUAAACUAUUUCUCUCUCUUUCUCUCUGUCUACCCCCCCCCCUCUUCCCUACUUUUCUCUCUUCCCCGUGCUUUUUUCUCUCUCUCUCUCUUUUUUAUUGUACUUGCGAAUUCAGACGUCGAUCAAUAUCAGGUUGAGUGGCAGCUGCGAUUUCGUGAAUCUUGAGAGCAUUUUGUAUUCGUGACUUUCUUUCCACCGCGAUGAUUAGUCUUUUUUUUUCUUAUAUAUUUUAGAUCACACAUAAGGGAGACACGGUGAAGAAAAAAGACAAGAGGGGGAGAAAGAGGGAGAAAAAAGAAAAAAUGAGACGAUUGUCGCGUUCCUCUUAUGAUAACGAGGGUAGAAAUGGACCACGGUCUGUUGCUCAACCAAAUCAAACUCGAACAUCAUUUAGGUGUAUUUGGUAUUUGACGAAAGAAAGAUCUCCAGAAUACAGGAUGUACCGAGAUUAAUCGCGACCUGUCAUAUCUUAGAAUGCUAAUUGAGCACGCGUAUCCUUGCGAUCUGGAAACGGAGACGAUGAUUCGAUCGAACGAACGCUUCUGUAUACGUGCCGAAUCCGCUUUUGUUUCCCCACAUUACCAACACUCACGGAUGAUAUAAAUACAUUGUAACGAACGCUUCGGAGUAUUUGCCCGAUUACAUUGACAAGUAUAAUUUGCGAUUAUGCGCGGCUUUUAUGUUUUUUUGAAAUAUAUGGAAAGA
rnacentral:lncRNA from 1 species